rnacentral:lncRNA from 1 species
UAUGGAGGAGUUGGAGGGAGGAGGCUGUGCUUUGGUGACAUUUAUGAAAGAACCAUAACACCUAGACAAUAGUAAACACAUUGGAUGAAAGAGGACAGCGAUGGCUACGUUUUGAGGGUAAAAUCAUACCUGUAGACAAACACGUGGACACAGCAGCAGUUUUAAAAAAUAUUUAAGAUUAAUUUUUUCGCUCCUCUCACUCUAGCAGUUGAGCCUUCUCACUCUAGCCCCAACAUUCCGUCCCAUACACACCCAUUAUAAACUCUGAAACGGCUGAAAAAACAUCAUGAAACUUAAACUGGAACUGAAGAAAAGUAUAAAGAUAUUGAAAAGAUAAAUACAAGUUGAAUAGUUGAAUGUCUUGUCUUCGUUUUAAAGUUUGAAUGGUGGCUCUAUGUCAAUAUGUGAAGUAGAUACAGUUUGAAAAUGAGUAAUUGAAUGAGGAUUUGAAGGGUCUCCCCAUUGAAAUACAUGGGAAAUUUUUGUUGAAAAAAGUUGAAUAAAUAAAAAUAUAAAUGUUAAAAUGAGAAAAUAGAAGCAGUCAUGUCCAAAAGAAGAGGAAUCUAAUGGUGUUUGAAUGGUUUUUCUAAGUUGAACGGUUUUGAAGGAGUAAGAGUACAAAAAACGUACGGAAUAGAUAAUAAAAUAGAAUAAAGAUUACAACAACAAUACUGUGAAUGCUUUUACAAGCAUUCACACUAAUGAAUGCUUUUACAAGCAUUCACACUAAUUACAACAACAAUACUGUGAAUGCUUUUACAAGCAUUCACACUAACUAGAAAGUGCAUUUUCUGAAGAAACUGCAGUGUGAAUGCUUGA